rnacentral:tRNA from 1 species
GAGGGUAUAGCUCAACUGGAAGAGCACAUGCUUAGCAUGCAUGAGGUCCUGAGUUCAAUCCUCAGUACCUCCA